rnacentral:tRNA from 1 species
GGGGUUGUGGCUCAGUGGUAGCGCACUCACCUAGCACAAGUGAGGCCCUGGGUUUGAUCCUCAGCACCUCA